rnacentral:rRNA from 1 species
UACGUAGGGUGCAAGCGUUGUCCGGAAUUAUUGGGCGUAAAGAGCUCGUAGGCGGUUUGUCGCGUCUGCUGUGAAAACCGGAGGCUCAACCUCCGGCCUGCAGUGGGUACGGGCAGACUAGAGUGCGGUAGGGGAGAUUGGAAUUCCUGGUGUAGCGGUGGAAUGCGCAGAUAUCAGGAGGAACACCGGUGGCGAAGGCGGGUCUCUGGGCCGUAACUGACGCUGAGGAGCGAAAGCGUGGGGAGCGAACAGG